rnacentral:lncRNA from 1 species
GAGGCUUGAUUUCGGAGCUUCCGGGCCUCUUUCGCGUCCUGGGGGAGGACCCCAUCUUUAAGAUAGAUUGUCAGUGGGUCGACCCAGCUGGGCUCGUGGUCGAUCUCCAUUACGGGCCACGGUUCUUCCGUACUCGGAUAUUUUAAAACUUCAAAGAGGACGCCUUUGGGCAAUUCGGCCGGAGCCGAUGUCGCCAGUUUGGAGAGAAGAUCGGCUCUGGUAUUCUCCGACCUUGAAAUUUGCCUGAU